CAGCAGCCGCGGGAAUACGAAGGGUGCAAGCGUUAAUCGGAAUUACUGGGCGUAAAGCGUGCGUAGGCGGUGAGUUAAGUCUGCUGUGAAAUCCCCGGGCUCAACCUGGGAAUGGCAGUGGAUACUGGCUCGCUAGAGUGUGUCAGAGGAUGGUGGAAUUCCCGGUGUAGCGGUGAAAUGCGUAGAGAUCGGGAGGAACAUCAGUGGCGAAGGCGGCGACCUGGUCCUUGACUGACGCUGAGGCGCGAAAGCGUGGGGAGCAAACAGGAUUAGAUACCCCCGUAGUCCCUGUCUCUUAUAC
rnacentral:rRNA from 1 species